rnacentral:rRNA from 1 species
GAUGAACGCUGGCGGCGUGCUUAACACAUGCAAGUCGAACGGAAAGGCCCUGCUUUUGUGUGGCGCUCGAGUGGCGAACGGGUGUGUAACACGUGAGUAACCUGCCCUUGUCUUUGUGAUAACUUCAGGAAACUGGGGCUAAUACCCGAUAGGAGCUCCUGCUGCAUGGUGGGGGUUGGAAAGAUUCGGCGGUGGGGGAUGGACUCGCGGCUUAUCAGCUUGUUGGUGGGGUAGUGGCUUACCAAGGCUUUGACGGGUAGCCGGCCUGAGAGGGUGACCGGCCACAUUGGUACUGAGAUACGGCCCAGACUCCUACGGGAGGCAGCGGUGGAGAGUAUGACACAGUGGGCGGGAGCCAGAUGCAGCAGCGCCGCGUGCGGGAUGACGUGCUUCGGGUUGUAAACCGCUGUCGCCUGUGCCGAGGCGUGAGUGACGGUAAUGGGUAAAGAAGCACCGGCUAACUACGUG